AGGGACAAAGGCCCAGCGAUGUGGAUGCUG
rnacentral:piRNA from 2 species